GGGUUAACCUCUCAGUCCCCCUAUGUAUCGUUGCCUUGGUGAGCCGUUACCUCACCAACCAGCUAAUACAACGCAUGCCCAUCCAUAACCACCGGAGUUUUCAACCAGAACCGAUGCCGGUCCUGAUGUUAUGGGGUAUUAGUACCAAUUUCUCAGUGUUAUCCCCCUGUUAUGGGUAGGUUGC
rnacentral:rRNA from 1 species